rnacentral:lncRNA from 1 species
CGAUAGAUAGACCUCAUGGGCUCAGCUCCUGCUCGCCUUGGGUGUUCCGUGUCGAACCAUGUCCUGCAGCAGACCCUCCCCGAAGGCCACAUCCGGUGGCACGACUACUACAGCCUCGGAGGCUUGUUCACUAGGCGAGUUUCUCUCAAUUCCUGGUCUCGUCUGCUGAACCUGAGCCUGCAUCGUCGGCAGGACAGUCCUCUGCAGACCCGUUCGUGUCCGUUGGUCCAUCCCGGAGCCGAGACCGUGGCUUCCUCCGAUCGACCGAUCAGAUGGUUCGGAUUCUAAUGACAACUGGGGGCGUCUAAUAAGCGUUUCAAGGCUUUGAUCAAUUCGGCUACUGCUACCUCCUACUAAUGGUUCAUGUCUAAGUUGCCCCCUACUCAUAGUGAGGCUAGACGAAUCAGGCUCAUACAGUGUACUUGAGCUAGAAGCUGGACCCAUAUGGCUUGAUGGUAAGUUGGGGAAAUUUAAACCCCGUAAUAGUGGAGAGCUAAUUUGCGGGAUAAUCCCGGAGCCUGAUCUCUGCAUGCUGUCAUUUUCAGAAAUUGGCCGGUCCGGCGAUUGUGCCGGCCCUGGUCCGGAACCUGCUAAGGAUGAACCAGGCUGCUCGAAUUGCUGCUGGAUGGGGAGCUGUGACAAGUUCGGUAUAUUCCU